CUGAAGUAUUUUGUUGAAAGGUGAAUGCCCAAAAAAAACCCAUAGUCGAUUAAAAUAAUUUAUAUGCAUGAAAGUAGACCAUUAAUAGUAGAUUGUA